GACGAACGCUGGCGGCGUGCCUAAUACAUGCAAGUAGAACGCUGAAGGAGGAGCUUGCUCUUCUGGAUGAGUUGCGAACGGGUGAGUAACGCGUAGGUAACCUGCCUGGUAGCGGGGGAUAACUAUUGGAAACGAUAGCUAAUACCGCAUAACAGUAGAUGUUGCAUGACAUUUACUUAAAAGGUGCAAUUGCAUCACUACCAGAUGGACCUGCGUUGUAUUAGCUAGUUGGUGGGGUAACGGCUCACCAAGGCGACGAUACAUAGCCGACCUGAGAGGGUGAUCGGCCACACUGGGACUGAGACACGGCCCAGACUCCUACGGGAGGCAGCAGUAGGGAAUCUUCGGCAAUGGACGGAAGUCUGACCGAGCAACGCCGCGUGAGUGAAGAAGGUUUUCGGAUCGUAAAGCUCUGUUGUAAGAGAAGAACGAGUGUGAGAGUGGAAAGUUCGCACUGUGACGGUAUCUUACCAGAAAGGGACGGCUAACUACGUG
rnacentral:rRNA from 1 species